GCGGGGCUGGGCCGGGGCCAUCAUGGCGUCUGCCAUGAGCUCCUCUGUUCUCAGAGUGGGCACAAUCGGCUCGGCUUUUUUCCAUUGUACUGCCAAAAUUCACCGAUUUUGAGCACCAAAGGCAGCUUUUCAGAGGGAAUACAGAGGACUUAGAAAUUAAAGGAGAGCCUGUGCAGAUGGAAGCAUUUCCCGGAGGAAGCAGUGGCUCCAUGGCAGCCUCUGCUGCAGGAAGGGAGGCGCUGCCAGGCACAGGCACAGGAGAUUGGGAUCGGGACUUGCAUCAUUUGGAAACGCUGGUAAACCAUGGUUUAAGGAUCUUGGAGCUUGGUGAAGGUAGGUUGUCAGCAACCCUUUCCUAACAGAGUAAUCACUGUCCAAGUGUAAUCGUUGUCCAGAGGAAUAUUC